UUCAACCAUAAUUCUUAUUAUUCCUAUUAUGUAUAUUUUUAAAAAUGUGAUAUGAUAUUUAUGUUGAUAUAAUAAUGAGGUACGAUAUAAUUUUAAAUAUGAAGCCUUAGGCCCACACGCUGCAGCAAGGCUAAUUGAGGAGGAGAGGGUUCAUCACACUUACCUUAGUCCACGUGCUCAGAUCACUUAUUCUUCUCACAAAUCACAUGGCCUAAGAAUACUACCUCCUCCACACCAGAAAUUGCCUCUGGCGGUGGCGGAGGGCGAAACCCCACUAACCUUAUACCAUCUUGAUCGUCUAAUCCUUUCCUAUCACUAUCCAAGCUUGUUUUUAUAUCAAUUUCCACUCAAACCUUUAAAUCCAACCAAACUAAGGAUGAACCCUAAGUCAUGAAUUAGAAAAUUAAACGCAACAAUAAAGGAAUCAAAGUGUAUCCUGUUAGGGCUUUGAUUCCUCAAAUCAAACCUCAAGUGGUGGCGACUUGGAGUAACGCAAAAGGAUGAGGAUAAGCCUACCUACGAGAAAGCGUCUUGUCCCGGUAAUCUCUGCAAUGGAGAAGAUGAUGGGAAUUCCAGACUUCAGAGUUGUUGCAGUCAAUUUUUUAUCUGGGUUGUACCAUCAGGGCUUUAGCAGACAAUUUCUCAACCAAACAAAUGAUUUACACCACAACCAGGGCGCAAUACAACAACUGAAGAGACACAUUCUUUUCCAUACUUUGACGCCACAUGCUUCUUCACAUCCUCGAGCUCAUGUGUGUCUGACCAUCUUGGAGUUGUAGCUAUGACACUAGAAACUGCUUCCUUCAAGUUAAUGGGGCAAUUUUGUGAUUCAAUCAUAGGUAGGCAUAUAUGGCAUGGAAUUGGAUGACAAGGCAUCAUAUGGAUCAUGAGGAAUCUUGGACAACAUGAAGCAAUUGAAGAUAGGAUAUGGUUUAGAAUUAGAUCAAUUGUCUUUGGCCAACUGUUUGACCAAAAAGUCAACAGUUAACUAGAGGCAAUUGUAGGUCAAAAAUAUAUAACUUGCAUGGAAUUUUGUGAUAUGUAUUUUGGUGUAAUGUAACUUGAAUGACUUGUAAUUCAAAAUGCCUUUCUUGAACGAAUGUAUGUAUGUAACUUGUUUCCUAAGCAAUAAUGUUUCACUUCCAAUUGAGUAACUAAA